GUAUUAUAACAAAAUUACCGAACUCCGAGGUAAAUUCUACACGGAAUUUCUCUAAGAAAAUGGCAAAAUCAAAAGUUCAAACACAUCAAACGAAUGGAUAACAACUGUUAUAUUCCCGACUUGGUACAUUUGUGUACAGGCAUUUUCUUAUGUAGAAAAUGGUUUAUUAAUUAACCUGAUUUAUUUUUUCAACCAGCUAAACCUCUAACGUUUAUGACAGUCGCAUAAAUUCAAUUAUAUUGACAACGAUGGUUGAACAAAUAAAACAGACUUAUAUGUAAUGAGUAAAAAUAUCAAAAAUGGGGGUGCAGCAGGCUACAAAGUGUUAUGAUCUUUUUUUAUUAACUAUAAAAACAAACAAAUAUGUCAACAAAGAAAAACAAAAAGGCAUCUAGACAGAGCACAUUAGCAAUACGAAAAUUUACCAUAGCACAAUAACACAACGCAUAGC
rnacentral:lncRNA from 1 species